rnacentral:lncRNA from 10 species
GGGAGCAGGAGUUGUCUCGCUUUCUGCUGAGUCCUCUGCGUCCCCUUCUUGCAGUCAGAGCCCCACAGUUGACGUGUGCUCUUACCGGUGGACUGAAUUUCCCAGCUUCUGCCGCAGGUCUGUGAGGCCAUGUGACCUGAGAAGCAGUGAAGGUGGCAGAAGUGGGAUCCACCACAUCCAAGCUCAGGCCAUGAAACUGCCUGUGGCAUCCUCCACACUCUUGCUCUUCUCUCUCCUGCUGGUCAGACAUGGAUGAUCCAGUGGAGGCCUCCAAGGCCCUAGGGGAUGGCAGAACCGCUCGAUAGCAGAUGCUUGGGGCCCUGGAGGACUGCAUGGAUCAAAGCCCCCUCCAACCAACCUUGAUUGUGAAAUGAUGAUGAAAUAAACCUUCAUUAUGGUGUGU